UCCACAUCCUCUUUCUGGCAGGAACAGAAACCACAGCGACCACUUUGCACUGGGCACUGCUCCAUAUUUUGACUUAUUCCAGAAAAGAUGGGAGACUAAUGAGGUCAUAUGGAAAACUGCUUGGAUUGUGCUUUCUCAGAGAACACACCAAGGUCAGCACAAAGAGGGCCUAAAGGAAACUGCCUCCAAGACUGACACCUAUCUCCUUAACCAGCUGUGGACACUGGAGUUCCAAACUCACCAUGAAACACUCUUGAAGGCACAAAUCUCUCUGUUCCACUCCCUUCUGCCAUCAAAUGGAUGUGCUUUUUGGAUAUUGCUUCACUCAGAGGCUCCUCAAAGGAUCCCAGGUCAUGGCAGAAUUCCAUGGCAUCUCCUGGCCUCAGGUGCAGCUCCAGGACACUUUCCCAUCACUGCUGAGGCCCUUGGGCACUUUGUUGAUGAGAAGGCUGCUGGCAGAGACACACCUGCAGGAUCUAUGAGCUCUUACUAAGUCUGAGAUCAGGCACCACCAAAAGAGCUGGGUGCCUGCACAGCCACAGGACUUCAUUGCUGCAUGCCUGAAUGAGAUGUUAAUGGUAACUAGUAAUUUUCUCUUAGGCAAAUGCUACGUAUUUCAAAGGCUUCUAGUUAAAGUAUUUCCAGUUGCACUCC
rnacentral:lncRNA from 1 species